rnacentral:lncRNA from 1 species
UUACAGCAAAUUAGAUUUAACUGUGACUGGCAUGUGAACUAUCUGAUGUUUGGACAGGGAUGAGGAAUAUUGCUAUGGACACCACGUUUCAUGUUUAGAGAAAUGGAAGUCCCAAAAGAAUAAAGGUAAGCCAGUGACAUACCAUCCUAUAUUACCAGUGAGUCGGCCACGCCUCCACUUCUUCCAUCCCCAGUCUACAUUCCCUCAGAGAUUUGGGCAAGGCAAUGAUAGAAAGUUGUAAUUUUGUGGGAUGCAUACUAGACUGAAAUCAGAAGACCUGGUUAAGAAUCGAGGUAUUGACCAGAUGAGGCAGUACCUUUGAAAGCAUUUGCACCCUACCGAGCACCCGUUGGCACUCAAGUGUUGAUUUGGAAUCUGAAAUUGAGAAGUUAAAGCUUUGAAAGUCAACGUUUACUUUAUUUUAUAUGCAGUGUUUAAUAAUGGGAUAAAAAUAUAUGCUAGACGAGGUCAGGC